AUUGAACGCUGGCGGCAGGCCUAACACAUGCAAGUCGAGCGGAUGAAGGGAGCUUGCUCCUGGAUUCAGCGGCGGACGGGUGAGUAAUGCCUAGGAAUCUGCCUGGUAGUGGGGGAUAACGUCCGGAAACGGGCGCUAAUACCGCAUACGUCCUGAGGGAGAAAGUGGGGGAUCUUCGGACCUCACGCUCUCAGAUGAGCCUAGGUCGGAUUAGCUAGUUGGUGGGGUAAAGGCCUACCAAGGCGACGAUCCGUAACUGGUCUGAGAGGAUGAUCAGUCACACUGGAACUGAGACGCGGUCCAGACUCCUACGGGAGGCAGCAGUGGGGAAUAGUGGACAGUGGGCGAGAGCCUGAUCCAGCCAGGCCGCGUGUGUGAAGAAGGUCUUCGGAUUGUAAAGCACUUUAAGUUGGUAGGAAGGGCAGUAAGUUAAUACCUUGCUGUUUUGACGUUACCAGCAGAAUAAGCACCGGCUAACUUAGUG
rnacentral:rRNA from 1 species